UACGUAGGGGGCAAGCGUUGUCCGGAUUUAUUGGGCGUAAAGAGCGUGUAGGCGGCUAGGUAGGUCCGUUGUGAAAACUCGAGGCUCAACCUCGAGACGCCGAUGGAAACCAUCUAGCUAGAGUCCGGAAGAGGAGAGUGGAAUUCCUGGUGUAGCGGUGAAAUGCGCAGAUAUCAGGAAGGACACCCGUGGCGAAGGCGGUUCUCUGGGACGGUACUGACGCUGAGACGCGAAAGCGUGGGGAGCGAACAGG
rnacentral:rRNA from 1 species